rnacentral:lncRNA from 1 species
GAAGUUUGAACUUAGUGGUACAUGGAUAUUACAUAAAAGUAAUCAUUCCUGUGCACAUAGAGUAACAAAGAGAUUCUGAAAACAUUAUGACGGAAUAAGCUCUUCAUGUAGGUGCACCCAGUGCAUAGGUCGUAUACACUCCAGCAACCAUCAAGUCAGUGUUCAUGAGGUGACUUUAUCACAAAAAAAAAUGUUCAUGAGGUGAAGUCCAGCAGUCAUAUCUAUACCAGGUCAUUCUGGUGGUUCUUAUUGCUACAACACCUACCAGUGCUAUAUUAUCACCAGUAAACAUCAUCAGAAGCGUGAAUGAUUCUCUUAGAUCAAAAUCAAAUGAUGCCUAUUGCUAACUUGCUAGUCACAGUGUGAGCCAUCGAUCAACUUGGCUCAAGGAAUUAAAUUAAGACACGAGUCGAAAUGAUCC